GACGAACGCUGGCGGUGUGCUUAACACAUGCAAGUCGAACGGAAAGGCCCUGCUUUUGUGGGGUGCUCGAGUGGCGAACGGGUGAGUAACACGUGAGUAACCUGCUCUUGACUUUGGGAUAACUUCAGGAAACUGGGGCUAAUACAGGAUAGGAGAUGCUGUUGCAUGGUGGGGGUUGGAAAGUUUCGGCGGUUGGGGAUGGACUCGCGGCUUAUCAGCUUGUUGGUGGGGUAGUGGCUUACCAAGGCUUUGACGGGUAGCCGGCCUGAGAGGGUGACCGGCCACAUUGGGACUGAGAUACGGCCCAGACUCCUACGUGAGGCAGCAGUGGGAAAUAUUGCACAGUGGGCGGAAGCCUGAUGCAGCGACGCCGCGUGCGGGAUGACGUCCUUCGGGUUGUAAACCGCAUUCGCCUGUGACGAAGCGUGAGUGACGGUAAUGGGUAAAGAAGCACCGGCUAACUUCGUG
rnacentral:rRNA from 1 species